GACGAACCAUGCAAACGUUAUUCGGAUUCACUGGGCUUAAAGCGUGCGUAGGCGGCCUUGUUAGUCAGGUGUGAAAGCCCUCAGCUCAACUGAGGAAUUGCGCUUGAUACUGCGAGGCUAGAGAGAGAUAGAGGUGGGUGGAACUGAUGGUGGAGCGGUGAAAUGCGUUGAUAUCAUCAGGAACACCAGUGGCGAAGGCGACCCACUGGGUCUCUUCUGACGCUGAGGUACGAAAGCUAGGGUAGCGAACGGG
rnacentral:rRNA from 1 species